UACGUAGGGCGCGAGCGUUGUCCGGAAUUAUUGGGCGUAAAGAGCUCGUAGGUGGCCUGUCGCGUCGGCUGUGAAAACUCGGGGCUCAACUCCGAGCUUGCAGUCGAUACGGGCAGGCUAGAGUUCGGCAGGGGAGGACUGGAAUUCCUGGUGUAGCGGUGAAAUGCGCAGAUAUCAGGAGGAACACCGGUGGCGAAGGCGGGUCUCUGGGCCGAUACUGACACUGAGGAGCGAAAGCGUGGGGAGCGAACAGG
rnacentral:rRNA from 1 species